rnacentral:misc_RNA from 1 species
AAAAACACCCCAUCUGCCACCUUCUCCUUCUAUCUUCUUCUCCAAAAGCAAAAGGAAAAAAUUAUAUAUAUAACACCCCAUUGAGAGGAGAGAGAAACCCAAUCUUAGAGAGAGAAAAAACCUCCAUAGUUGCACAAUACAGUUCUAAGCAAAACUCAGCAAAGAAGAAGUAGAAGAAAAUGGAGGGGAAAGAAGAGGACGUGAAACUAGGAGCAAACAAGUUCUCAGAAAGGCAGCCAAUCGGCACAUCGGCGCAGACGGACAAGGACUAUAAAGAGCCACCGCCGGCGCCGCUGUACGAGCCCGGCGAACUGACUUCAUGGUCAUUUUACAGAGCCGGAAUCGCGGAGUUUGUGGCCACUUUCUUGUUCCUCUACAUCACCAUCUUGACAGUGAUGGGAGUCAGCCGAGCUCCGUCGAAAUGCUCCACCGUUGGCAUUCAGGGUAUCGCUUGGGCCUUCGGCGGCAUGAUCUUC